rnacentral:piRNA from 1 species
UAGUAGAUCCCCGGCUUCAGAGUC